GAGGCAAGUGUUGGGCUCUAGUCAUGGGCCUAUUAGCCCAUUGUUUCCACUACCAAUAAUUCUAAUUGGGUAUAUAACACUCUACUGCGUCACUGGUAUAACGAACGCGCAGCUGGUUAUCAGAAUUCAGAAACCCUAGUUUGUGAGUCUCUAAUUCUCCUUUGCUAUCAUCUCUGCUCUUGUUUUUCCUCAAUGAAUUUUGUAUCUAAUAUUAUUGAGUUGAUUUUUUAGAAGGUAAGAGGGAAAAAAAUGGCGGUGCCACUGUUGACCAAGAAGAUAGUGAAGAAGAGAGUUAAGCAGUUCAAGAGAGCUCAAAGUGACCGCAGAAUCACUGUCAAGGUAACUAACUCUUUUCAUGUUUCAGUUUUUAAUGCUUAGAAUUGUUAUUGUAUAAUUUGUUGAGGUGCGGGCAAGCUGAUCUGGGGCACUACUGUUUUCAGAAAUAAAAAUUAUUGAACAACGUCAAAAUACAUUGUUCCUUGUUUUCUCGUUUGUUUGUAUUCUUUACCUGCCAUGUUACCUAGGUGUGUGUAAUAAACUAGAUACUGUAAUGAGAAUUGAGAAGAAAAACUGAAAUGGAAAUUAG
rnacentral:lncRNA from 1 species